UAACAUAUCUAUAAUACGCGAGAGAGAAGUGAUUUAUAGCCAGAGAUUAAGGAUCCCCCAAGUCCCAACCCAAACCUGACUUUUGACUUUCUCUAGGGAAGUACACUGUGCUACACACUUGCCUGUUUUCCAUAUGAGCAGAAUAAGGGCAAAGACCUAGCUGUCUAGCUUCACAGAGACCCAAUGAUAGAAGUGAUUAGAAAAAGGAAAUUCUAUGGAAAUUUCAGUAGUCUGAAAAAAAAAAAAACCUCUUUGUAGAUGUGGUUACGUGUCUCAGGUUGGAGAGUUUGACUUGAAUUAUCCAGGUGGGCCCUAAGUGAAAUCAUAUGUGUCCUUCUAAAAGGAAAGCAGGGGGAGCAGAGGAAACAGAGGGAGAUUUUACACAGAGGAGAAGGUGAGGUGAAAAGAGCAGAGAGAUUUGAAGGUACUAGCUUUGAGGACUGGACUGGUGCAGCCAUAAGCCAAGGAAUGCUAUGGGCUGCCACAUUCUCCCCUAGAGCUCCCUGGAGGGCUGAUACCUUGAUUUCUGCCCAAUGGUACUGAUUUUUGGAUUUCUGACCUCCAGAACUAUGAGAGAACAAAUUUUCCUUGCUUCACGUUGGUUAUUUGUUUCAGCAGCCACAGAAAACUCAUACAGGAAUGCAGAUUCUAUGUUGCUUUAGGGCAGGGACUAAUCCUGUAUUUCUUUUGUCUCCCCAGCAAUGUCUUAGACAUGACAUAACUACCCUUAUCUGUAGGUGGAGAUACCUUGAUACCUUUCUGCUAGUUAAGAUAAAUCAGGUCUUCUCUUCUAAGGCUAGUAGAUACUUCUGUUAUCAAGUUCUUUGGAAACAACUGACCCUGAUCUUUGUUUAUCUGUGGUACAAAGGAUUGAAUCAGAGGUGCU
rnacentral:lncRNA from 1 species